GGAUAGAUAAGGUCCGCUGGUCACAGAAAAACAGGCAGUUAACGUUCCUUUUACUUUAGUUUCGGGGGAGGCGGAAGGGAAAGAGAGAGAGAGGACACAGGGAAACUUACAGCAAAAGUUUCGAUGUUUAUAGCUUUCUUGGGGAAGAAAACACAUGCACAGAUCCUGGUCUUAGGAAUAUUUUAAGCAUGUAUCUUCAACAUUAUUCAUCCAGGACCGAAGUAAGUCCUGAUGCAGGAAAUGAGUGAGUUUCACAGCUUUCUGAGCCCCUACUCGACCCAGGAAGUCCAGCUGGCACCUCCUCUGGAUCACAAGGGCUGCGUGGUUCUGUUUGCCAAGGUUCUUCUCGUCAAAAUCUGCACUGGAAGUGAGGAGGUUCUCUGUUGACCCAUUCAUUUCUUUUCUUCAGUAAGAUUCUUCCUUGACAAACCAUCUUUUGAACAUCUGGUGAAAAAAAAAUGGAGAAAUAAUAUGAGAGAAGAAAACGUGAAUAAGACAUUAAAUGAAACUGCAUGAGAGGUUUUAUUCAAGGUUCACAAUAAAAUAUAUACCAGAGCAGUAGAAGAGCUGUUGUAUUUAAAGACACUGGAAGGGGAAUAAAAUGUGAAGCAUUUGGAAGAUCUGUCCUAGCUUACAUGUGUAUUUUCAAAGUUGCCUUUAGGAAAUGUAUGGAAAUAAACUGAGUUUAAUUGAAA